UAGGAGAGGCUACUUUGAGGAGUGAGGAUAUUCAGCCAGGUUAGCCCACACACCUGCCAGUGUGGCUCUCGCGCCUCGAACCUGAGCCAAAGCUAGUGCGGAAGGGCUGUGCAGGCUGACAUAGACUUCCACCGAGGGAGACCCUGGUGCUGACCUGCUGGCGACCUGUGGGCCUGCCCUACACUGCUCUGAGCAGACCAGUGGCGGCCUGUGAUUAUCAUAACAUGCCUUCUAUGUUCAAGGUCACCUCACCAUCAAGAGAUGGCUGUCGGAGCUCUAUCCAUCACUUCUGCCUUACAGACAUCAGGAAGAAGGGAAGCAGGGAGGAGGGAGGUCCCUGACCUGCUCCCUUGCCUUCGUGUUCCAGGAAGAGGGAGGUCAUUGCCCAUGCAAAGGACGCUGCAGAUGCCCAGUUAAGCCCAAGAACCCCCUCUGCUUCAGAGUUGAUGACAUCUUCUGCUCCCCAGCAGAAGGUUGAGCUUGAACUUUUUAUGGGCCCUGAUAACAGCUGGGGAUUCCUCUCCCCCUCUGUUUUCCUGCCACCCACAGCCUCCCGAGAGGCAGGAUAAAAGAGAAUGUUGUUGCUUUUCCUUUCUUCUCUAGCUUUGAUUUCCUCUUCCUCCUCUAUGUUUCAGAAAACGGUAAAACAAGCAAACAAAUAAAACAGAACUCAGUCCCUUCUGAGCUUUGCUUUCCUUCCUGGUCUCCCCUGCAUCAACUCCCCUGCCCCCGUGGUCCUACACCAAUUCCCUGCUGACUUUAUUCUCAGUUUCUCCU